UCAAGCAACUAAGCGCAUACGGUGGAUGCCUUGGCAGUCAGAGGCGAUGAAAGACGUGGAAGCCUGCGAUAAGGCUCGGGGAGCUGGCAAACAAGCUGUGAUCCGGGCAUCUCUGAAUGGGGAAACCCACCGGUCUUCGGACCGGUACCGUACGGUGAAUACAUAGCCGUACGGGGCGAACUCGGGGAACUGAAACAUCUAAGUACCCGAAGGAAAAGAAAUCAACCGAGAUUCCCUCAGUAGCGGCGAGCGAACGGGGAGCAGCCCUUAAGCUGGACAACUGGUAGGAGAAGGCCCUGGAAAGAGCCGCCAUAGUGGGUGAUAGCCCCGUAUCCGAAACCUGAGUCCAGUGAAAUCGAGUAGGACGGGACACGAGACAUCCUGUCUGAACAUGGGGGGACCAUCCUCCAAGGCUAAAUACUCCUGACUGACCGAUAGUGAACCAGUACCGUGAGGGAAAGGCGAAAAGAACCCCUGUGAGGGGAGUGAAAUAGAUCCUGAAACCGUGUGCAUACAAGCAGUAGGAGCAGACUUGUUCUGUGACUGCGUACCUUUUGUAUAAUGGGUCAGCGACUUAUUGUCUGUAGCAAGGUUAACCGAUUAGGGGAGCCGUAGGGAAACCGAGUCUUAAUAGGGCGCGAGUUGCAGGCAUUAGACCCGAAACCCGGCGAUCUAUCCAUGGCCAGGUUGAAGAUUGAGUAACAUCAAUUGGAGGACCGAACCCACUUAUGUUGAAAAAUGAGGGGAUGAGCUGUGGAUCGGAGUGAAAGGCUAAUCAAGCCGGGAGAUAGCUGGUUCUCCCCGAAAACUAUUUAGGUAGUGCGUCGUAUCUUACCCUCGGGGGUAGAGCACUGUUUGGGCUAGGGGGUCAUCCCGACUUACCAACCCCAUGCAAACUCCGAAUACCGAGGAGUACAAUUACGGCAGACAGACAGCGGGUGCUAACGUCCGUUGUCAAGAGGGAAACAACCCAGACCGCCAGCUAAGGUCCCAAAUGCUAGUUAAGUGGGAAACGAUGUGGGAAGGCUCAGACAGCUAGGAGAUUGGCUUAGAAGCAGCCAUUCUUUAAAGAAAGCGUAAUAGCUCACUAGUCGAGUCGGCCUGCGCGGAAGAUUUAACGGGGCUAAAUUAGCAACCGAAGCUGCGGAUGCUUUCGAGCAUGGUAGGGGAGCGUUCUGUAAGCCGUUGAAGGUGAAUUGAGAAGUUUGCUGGAGGUAUCAGAAGUGCGAAUGCUGACAUAAGUAACGACAAGGGGAGUGAAAAACUCCCCCGCCGGAAGAUCAAGGUUUCCUGUCCAACGUUAAUCGGGACAGGGUUAGUCGACCCCUAAGGCGAGGCUGAGAAGCGUAGUCGAUGGGAAACAGGUUAACAUUCCUGUACUUUUUAUUACUGCGAUGGAGGGACGGAGUAGGCUAGGUUAUCACGGCGUUGGUUGUCCGUGUUCAAGGCUGUAGGCAAGCGACUUAGGUAAAUCCGGGUUGCUCUCUUUAAUGAGAAUGCUGAGAGUUGAUGACGAGUCUCGCAAGAGGCGAAGUAAUUGAUGCCAUGCUUCCAAGAAAAGCUUCUAAGCUUCAGGUAAUAGAGAAUCGUACUGUAAACCGACACAGGUGAUCAGGUAGAGAAUACCCAGGCGCUUGAGAGAACUCGGGUGAAGGAACUCGGCAAAAUCGUACCGUAACUUCGGGAGAAGGUACGCCACUUGGUGUGAAGGGCUUGCCCCGUAAGCACUGAGUGGUCGCAGUGAAAAGGCCCCUGCAACUGUUUAUUAAAAACACAGCACUCUGCAAACGCGUAAGCGGACGUAUAGGGUGUGACGCCUGCCCGGUGCCGGAAGGUUAAUUGAUGGGGUUAGCUUCGGCGAAGCUCUUGAUCGAAGCCCCGGUAAACGGCGGCCGUAACUAUAACGGUCCUAAGGUAGCGAAAUUCCUUGUCGGGUAAGUUCCGACCUGCACGAAUGGCGUAAUGAUGGGGGCGCUGUCUCCACCCGAGACUCAGUGAAAUCGAAAUCGCAG
rnacentral:rRNA from 1 species